rnacentral:lncRNA from 1 species
UAAAUAAGGAUCCCCAGAUACGUUCUUUUCUGAGCUCAAAAACUCUAUCUCGAAACUCUGCCAAAAUUUUCGUUCGAGCACUCCAUUUCUGUUGAAGCAGAGUACUGACUUGAGCGUCGGAGGUCUUGCCGGAGCACCCCCAACUCCGGUUUAGACUUCUCUUGCAGGUCCCGACGGCGGUCACGAUGUUCUCCAGCAACUCCGGCUUUGAC